rnacentral:rRNA from 1 species
AUUGAACGCUGGCGGCAGGCUUAACACAUGCAAGUCGAGCGGAGAGAGGUAGCUUGCUACUGAUCUUAGCGGCGGACGGGUGAGUAAUGCUUAGGAAUCUGCCUAUUAGUGGGGGACAACAUUUCGAAAGGAAUGCUAAUACCGCAUACGUCCUACGGGAGAAAGCAGGGGAUCUUCGGACCUUGCGCUAAUAGAUGAGCCUAAGUCGGAUUAGCUAGUUGGUGGGGUAAAGGCAUACCAAGGCAACGAUCUGUAGCGGGUCUGAGAGGAUGAUCCGCCACACUGGGACUGAGACACGGCCCAGACUCCUACGGGAGGCAGCAGUGGGGAAUAUUGGACAAUGGGCGGAAGCCUGAUACAGCCAUGCCGCGUGUGUGAAGAAGGCCUUAUGGUUGUAAAGCACUUUAAGCGAGGAGGAGGCUACUUUAGUUAAUACCUAGAGAUAGUGGACGUUACUCGCAGAAUAAGCACCGGCUAACUCUGUGCCAGCCGCCGCGGUAAAAC